AUCACUUUUCUUUAAAAGUAGUGAAGAAGUAGCUCAUCCUGCACAUCACUCCUCGUUCACACAAGCUGAAUCGCUGAAGAUGAGGAUGAUUCUUCUAUUCUGCAUCCUCUGCCUGAUGACUUCUACUGGC